UGUGUAGGCGGUUGUUUAAGUUUGGUGUGAAAUCUCCCGGCUCAACUGGGAGGGUGCGCCGAAUACUGAAUGACUAGAGUGCGGGAGAGGAAAGUGGAAUUCCUGGUGUAGCGGUGAAAUGCGUAGAUAUCAGGAGGAACACCGGUGGUGUAGACGGCUUUCUGGACCGUAACUGACGCUGAUACACGAAAGCGUGGGUAGCAAACAGGAUUAGAUACCCUGGUAGUCCACGCCCUAAACGAUGCAUAUUUGGUGUGGGCAGUUCAUUCUGUCCGUGCCGGAGCUAACGCGUUAAAUAUGCCGCCUGGGGAGUACAGUCGCAAGGCUGAA
rnacentral:rRNA from 1 species